rfam:Ruminococcus sp. CAG:9 genomic scaffold, scf105
GCGGAUAUGGCGGAAUUGGCAGACGUAGAAGGCUCAAACCCUUCGGAGAAAUCGUGUGGGUUCGAAUCCCACUAUCCGUA